ACUUACAGCCAAAUCAAAUAAAAGUACGAGAUCUGUCAACCACUGCUGAAAUAUUGUGAUUAUCUUCUUGAAAGUUGGAAUGUGUUGUUUUUAUGAAAAUGUCGAAAAAGCCAAUUCGAUCUAAAGCGAAAAAUAUUGUUUUCAAUUUUUUUCGUAAAAUAAAGGAAGAAGAAGUUGUAAAUCAAACUCAAUCUUUGAUUUUAAAGCGCAUGGUAGAGUUUACCGAAUUUCAUCUCACAACAACGGAUAUCUAAAAUAAAGCAACAUAUUUAAAUGUAUAUAAUUAAAGCCUCUGAGCUAAGCCGGUCUAAGCAGCAGUCCCUGAAAUUUAAUUUGUAUUAUGUUUGUAAGAGGUAUAACAAACAACUGUAUCAAUGAUAAGAUACUUAAUGAAUUAUUGAAAUUUGACCAUGUUUUAACGGUAAAAGAAUAUUGAAAUGUCA